AGCGAACGCUGGCGGCAGGCCUAACACAUGCAAGUCGAACGAACCUUUCGGGGUUAGUGGCGGACGGGUGAGUAACACGUUGGAACGUGCCUUUAGGUUCGGAAUAACUCAGGGAAACUUGUGCUAAUACCGAAUGUGCCCUUCGGGGGAAAGAUUAAUCGCCUUUAGAGCUGCCCGCGUCUGAUUAGCUAGUUGGUUGAGGUAAUGGCUCACCAAGGCGACGAUCAGUAGCUGGUCUGAGAGGAUGAUCAGCCACAUUGGGACUGAGGCACGGCCCGAAAUCCUACGGGAGGCAGCAGUGGGGAAUGUUGCGCAAUGGGCGAAAGCCUGACGCAUCCAUGCCGCGUGAAUGAUGAAGGUCUUAUGAUUGUAAGAUUCUUUCACCGGGGACGAUAAUGACGGUACCCGGAGAAGAAGCCCCGGCUAACUUCGUG
rnacentral:rRNA from 1 species